GGUCUCUGCGGAGAUGGGAAAAACUCUGACGUUGCCAUGGACACCUGGCAGAGAGUUGGGCACUCAGGAUUCUUCUGGUGUCUGAUGGGCAGCGUUUAGCUCAAAUCCUCCAGAGAAGAGAUGUGUGUGUGUCUCUCUUUAAUGACCAGCUGAUACUGAAAUUAGCCAAAUUCAUCAGAGCUGGAGCGGCCUCUCCUCCAGACUCCUGACACCAACUGAUCAUUCAACUCAUUAAGCCAUUUAAACGACUGUGCAACAAACUCCAACUGAGUUUGACUUGAAUACUAGAGUUAAGAGCUCGACAGUACCAUACGCUUUCAUAUAAUACAGCACUCUGGACAUUCGGCCUCUGAUCUGCUUUUGUGUUCGCCAGAAGAAAGAAAGUCGUGCAGGUUUGGAAUGACAUGAG